UACGUAGGGGGCAAGCGUUGUCCGGAUUUAUUGGGUUUAAAGGGUGCGUAGGCGGCUAAUUAAGUCAGCGGUGAAAUUCCAGAGCUCAACUCUGUGAACUGCCAUUGAUACUGGUUGGCUUGAGUACAGAUGAGGUAGGCGGAAUUGACAGUGUAGCGGUGAAAUGCUUAGAUAUUGUCAAGAACACCUAUUGCGAAGGCAGCUUACUAAACUGUAACUGACGCUGAGGCACGAAAGCGUGGGGAUCAAACAGG
rnacentral:rRNA from 1 species